rfam:Trichobilharzia regenti genome assembly, scaffold: TRE_scaffold0017282
GUACUGCUGAAGAAUCCAAAACUAGGACGAUACGGCUGUUCAGUAC